rnacentral:rRNA from 1 species
UACGUAGGGGGCAAGCGUUGUCCGGAAUCAUUGGGCGUAAAGAGCGUGUAGGCUGCCAGAUAAGUCCGCUGUGAAAUCUCGAGGCUCAACUUCGAGCUGUCGGUGGAAACUGUCUGGCUAGAGUCCGGAAGAGGAGAAUGGAAUUCCUGGUGUAGCGGUGAAAUGCGCAGAUAUCAGGAAGAACACCCGUGGCGAAGGCGGUUCUCUGGGACGGUACUGACGCUGAGACGCGAAAGCGUGGGGAGCGAACAGG